AUUGAACGCUGGCGGCAUGCUUUACACAUGCAAGUCGAACGGUAACAGGGUGCUUGCACCGCUGACGAGUGGCGAACGGGUGAGUAAUGCGUCGGAACGUGCCGAGUAGUGGGGGAUAACGCAGCGAAAGUUGUGCUAAUACCGCAUACGUACUGAGGUAGAAAGUGGGGGACCUUCGGGCCUCCAGCUAUUCGAGCGGCCGACGGCGGAUUAGCUAGUAGGUGAGGUAAAGGCUCACCUAGGCGACGAUCAGUAGCGGGUCUGAGAGGAUGAUCCGACAAACUGGGACUGAGACACGGCCCAGACUCCUACGGGAGGCAGCAGUGGGGAAUUUUGGACAAUGGGCGAAAGCCUGAUCCAGCCAUGCCGCGUGUCUGAAGAAGGCCUUCGGGUUGUAAAGGACUUUUGUCAGGGAGGAAAUCCCUAGUGCUAAUAACACUGGGGGAUGACAGUACCUGAAGAAUAAGCACCGGCUAACUACGUGCCAGCAGCCGCCGCAG
rnacentral:rRNA from 1 species